CUUGACUCUCUUUCUCAAGGUUGAGUUUGAGGUGGUGUUUGUUCAGUGAAUCUAUCCAGUCAAAACCAAAAUGUUGCCACAUCUGUUUUUCAUAUUACAAAAUGAUGAUAAAACUUGUCUUUAGAUAAAGUCCUACCAUGGCAUGACAAUCAAUAAUCCCAUGAAACCAUGUUUUGUGGGUUGAACAAUUUAAUGCAGUUCUCCUCGGAAGAAAGAACAUACCCUUAAAACUUGUCUUCACAACUCCCCUUUGCAUCCUGACAUUAAUUUCCAAUAUCUUGCCGAAACUUCCUUUUGUAAAGAUGUCAGUCAUUAUAAACUUCCUUGCUUCUCUAGUACUAGGGCCUAACAUCUUUUGUUGGUUAUGCCCUGUAUCAAAGUUCAAAGGCUCUGGUCUCCGAUUUCCCACUGCAUUUGACAUUCCAAUAUCUACAACACUAACUUGACGUAUCAGGUGGCAAAGAUAAGAGUAAUUUGUCUAUAGAAGAUGGAAACCAUGUAAAUUUUUGUGGUUGAGCCUCGCCUGGGAGUGGCAAUGAUCCUAGUAAUUUGUCUAUAGAAGAUGGAAACCAUGUAAAUAUUCAGGUUGGCUGCUCUGCGACGCGAUGAUCCUAGUACUUUUGUUUUGAGCAACUGCUUCAUACCGUCGUGGUGUUAAGAACCAACCAACAAUUAUAUGCUGUCUUGUAACACAUCAGUUUUGAGGGUGUCAAAAUCAGUUGAACAGGUCGACUGCUUUUAGCCUUUGUACAUUGCAAAGACUGCAACGCUGAUGAGGGUUAUUAAUAGGAACUGGCAAUUGACAGGUUACUGGUUUGACCGGGGGAAAACACAUGGUAGAUUGUGUACUUAGGAAUUUGACUUGUAUGUUUUUAGAAUGUUUUUGAAGUACAAUGUAAUCAAAUAUGAUAAUAUGAAUGUAAUCAAAAUUCUUGUUUGUGACU